rnacentral:rRNA from 1 species
GACGAACGCUGGCGGCGUGCUUAACACAUGCAAGUCGAACGAUGAAGAAGAGAAACGCGAACUUCGGUUCAAAUUUCACUUCGGAUUAGUGGCAGACGGGUGAGUAACGCGUGAGCAACCUACCUCUUACAAAGGGAUAGCCUCGGGAAACCGUGAUUAAUACCAUAUGACACAUUCAUAAGGCAUCUUAAGAAUGUUAAAGCUACGUCGGUAAGAGAUGGGCUCGCGUCCCAUUAGCUAGUUGGUGAGGUAACGGCCCACCAAGGCGACGAUGGGUAACCGGCCUGAGAGGGUGAACGGUCACAGUGGAAAUGAGACACGGUCCAAACUCCUACGGGAAGCAGCAGUGGGGAAUAUUGCACAAUGGAGGGAACUCUGAUGCAGCGACGCCGCGUGAGCGAUGAAGGAAUUCGUUUCGUAAAGCUCUGUUCUAUGGGAAGAAAAGGACUGUACCAUAGGAGAAAGCCCCGGCUAAAUACGUG